AUGUGCAUCACGUAGGGCGCUUCGCUAUGCACGCCGACCAUCUCGACCGGUCCUUGCCCGCCCAGCGCCGCGGGAAAUGACGCGGCAUGGAUGCCGUGUAAGAGCCGACGGGGACGUCCUCGCGGCGUGUCCUGCGAUGGUGGGUGGGCAAUGGUCCUUGCAGCAACGCCGCAGAUCAGAGCCUUGCAGGCCAAGCCACAA
rnacentral:sRNA from 1 species